rnacentral:lncRNA from 1 species
CGGCGCGGAGGGAGCUGCGCGCGGUGCUGCGGCUCCGAGGGCGGGGUGUCCCGCCGCCUCAGGGCUCGGUAUGGGGGGAGCGGGGGGGAUGAGUUUUGGGAGGGGAGUCGUGAGGCCUCUGGGAAAAAGCUCGGGAGAGCGUUGGCUCAUCAGGCUCCUCGAGGAUGUAUUCUUCAAAGAUAAUAAAGAUCAACAUGCAGUACUCGUUUAUCACUCACUCCACCUGGAAAUGACAGGACAGCAAUCAAUAUCCUUGCUUAACGGAGAGAUGUGCCUUACUCUUAGUUGCAUGGGUUUUUACAAAACAGCUGUAAAGACUUCUGGGAAGAGAGUAAAAUGUAUUACAGACAAUUCAUAACAGCACUGUGCAGAGAAGAGAGGUGGGCACUAACAGGCAACAGAAGUGAGUAUCAGGCUUUAAUUCAUUUUCAACUCAAAUUUUGUGCAGUCAGAAAAUUGCUUUCUUGUCUAACUGAAGCCUCUAAUUACUGUUGAACUACAGUCAGGAAUGCAGCGCUGGUAGCAAUGAAAAUAUUGCCCAGGCUGAAAUUCAGUAGGAGAGGUCUGGUGGAUGUUGGUCCUCACUUCCUGUCCUCCACUGCAAACUUAGCAGCUUCAGCUUCAGAGUGCUAGUAUAUGUAAGAAAAUUAGGAAGGAGUCAGACCAAAGAAAUGUCCACUUAGUGACUGGCCAAAGGCCCCUCAAGCCCACUAUUUUGUCUUCAGCAGCUGUCAAAAUCAACGCCAGGGGAAGAAUGUGACAGUGGAGCAAGCAUCAACUUCCCUUGUUUUUUUCCAGCUUCCAACAACUUGCCCAUCAAGGAUUUCAGACAGGCGCUAGACACAGCGCUUUCAUAUCUAACAGCCAGUGGCGGAUUUCCCUUUCCUGAACGUGUACAGCUGUAUUCUGAACACACUUUGAGAUCCCCUAUUGGCCAUAAACCUGGCCAUAAUUCUGCGAUGGCAAAUCCUGCUUAGUUUUGAAAAUUUCACAUUAAGCUGGCUGUCCCCCACUCUUCAACUUGUCAUAGGAAAGAGGGGGUGCUACGAAAUGAAAGCAUAACAUGAAGUAAAAGAAUUCCAUAAAUUCAAAAGAGUAAGAAAAGCAUUUCUGUUUAAAACUCACACAUUUUUCUAUUAAAAAG